UAUAAAUAUAUAUAACCUAUAUAAUUUUUAGGCCCAAAUACAGCCCAUAAGGACGAACUGCUAAACAGAGAGUGCUAAACGGGCUAACGUGCCGGCCUGAUUAACUAAGUGGCCGUGCCUGGGCCUGGAGGCGCAGCACGCGGGCCGGCACGGCACGCCAGCUGUGCUCCGGCGUUUGGAGUGCCUAAAAAAAUGCUCCGGCGUUUGGAAUAAAAAAAAAGGCGUUUCUUAUCCCAUUGAGUGUUCCACGGCGGCGCGGCGUGCCUCCAUCCCCUCCGGCCUCUCCCCCCGACCCCGGCGGCACAGGCGGCCUUCAAGUUCCGGCCGGUGUCGGAGACGAAACGGCCUAUAUAUAGAUGGAGGAGAGGGCGGAGGAGAUCGAUCUGAGCAAGCCGAGGUUGCGCACGAUGGGGAGAAAGCUACCCCCUUCUGCUCCGGCCACGACGCGGACUCCGGCGACGGGAAGGCGGCGCAAAGGCCCCUCCUUGGCCCCGCUCUCCGCCUGCAAGCGCCGGCGGACCCCUGAGGCUAGCGGCUGGGCUUCCCUCCCCACCGAUAUAGUCCACCUUGUCGCCAGCCGCCUGCUGACCGGCGACGUGGUGGACUACAUCGUCUUCCGGGCCGUCUGCUCCGGCUGGCGCAGCUGCACGGGCCAAGUGAAUGGAAGAGAGACCAAUGAUCAAGAGUAAAUCUGUGUAUAUCAAUGAUGACAAGUUACAUUUUUAUUUGCACUCACCAUGUGGUGGUUGAAUCAUAUAAGCACACAUAAAUGCUGAUAACAUGGCCACUGUUCCUACAUUGGUAGGUAUGGUUCGGCUAA